GAAAGUCUCCUUCUCCCACCAUGGAUCUUACAGUUCUCUCGUUUAAAGGUUUUAUUUUAUGCAUGCACAUUUGGUGAAUAUCUGUUUAAGAGGAAAUAUUUUGGAAUAAAACCUUAAAGGUAAAGGAUUUGGUGUUAGGAAAAGUGGCCCUUCAGUUGGGUGAUCUCAUAAGGCUGAGGGAAAGUAGAAGGGAAUGAAGUGCCCUGUCUCACAGAAGAAGAUAGAUUAGGGCGUCCCCCCCCCCACUUUCCAGCUCUAUGGUCCUGUUCCAUGCCCAGUCACGCUGGCUUUUCUGCUAGAGCUGUCUGUCUUAAGGCUAAAUGUCUGUGGCAGAAGCAAACAGAAAAUGAUUUCCCUUCCAUGUGUUUCCCUGAUGCACAGUUUCUGCUGCUCAGGAACAGCAGUGGGUGAAGAAAGGAGAGAGAGCCUGAGGGAGGCAAUGAGAGGGCCAAGGAACAGGUAAGGAAUUCCACAAGCAGGGGCAAGAGGAAAUGACAAGUCCAGCUGGUUGCUUGCGGUCAGGAUCUGAGGCAUAAGUGCUCCUGCACCUGGCUAGCAAGGUUCACUGACUACCAGCAAGGGGAAAAGCCUCAUAUAGACAAGAAAAGAAGAAUGACAAAAGAGGGACCCAACCAUCUCCUUUGUGAUCCAUCUACUUUCUGACGCUCCCUAAGCAUUGUUAAGCAAAAGUGAGAUGAAGCAAGGCAGUUCUAGUUCUCUACUGAUUGAUAUACUUUCUCUCUGAAGAACUGAGUAAUUGUCCAACUAAAGAACAUCAUUCCUCAAAUGCAGCAUUACACUUGUCCAUGUUGUAAAAAUCCUAAACAUAAAUGUUAUGGGACAGCCCCUAAAACACACCUAGACAGGACUAGAGGACUAACUCUGGGCAUUGGCUCACUGAAUGGGGAUAAUGUGUUUCUAGAUUAGCCCAGGGCUGAUCUAGCUUCAAUGUCUUGGGCAAUUUUAGAAAACGGAACUGUUUUCCCCAAACUUGUCACAUUCUCCGUUUAUUUACCAAUUAUCGGCCAAACUGGACCCCAUCAUGCCCCCGAUUAUGUCAUUAGUGCAUACAUCCAAGUGCAGGUAAGCCCUUAGUUGAGUCUUCCAUCCAACCUCCAUUUAGCUGCCAGCUCCAACAGCCACGGGAGCAGUGAGAGGUCUCUUAGCCCUUGGCUGCACUGGCUCUUUGGAAAACUUAAUUUCUCAGGUCUGCUUGUGCCUGGUAGUUACACAGACGUGUGCUGGACAUCAAAGCCAGGAGAGAACUCCCACUUAUGCCACUGAUGUCUGCAGCCAGAGACUUGUGAAAUUACCAUCAUCAUCAACACCACCACAAAAUGAACACAUGUUCAUGCAGCUGGAAGUGCUUGUUAAAAAAAGAAAUAUCUUCCGUUGUUUCUGGAAAGUGCAGCCAGAGGGUGCCUGUCAUAACUCUAUCAUAUGCUGCUUAGACUUACUGUGGAGUGGGCUUCUGAUGUGGAGAAAGGUUUCCUGCAGAACAAUAUGAGCAUUACUGUGUGUAUGAUAACAUAAGGGAUAGGGAGAAGGCAGUCUCUCAAGCUAUGUUAUGCUUAGACUUCACAAUUAAAUCUUCUUUCAAAAGUAAUUUUAUUAUCUGGGAAAUGUAAGUGAUUGAGUGGGUGGUCGCUGAACAAAUCCAGGCAUACCUGGAGGAUGUGGACCAUUUGGACCCCGUCCAAUCGGGAUUCAGGCCCCAUCAUAGGACCAAAACUGCCUUGGUCACACUGUUCGAUGAUCUCUGGCGGGCUUAGGGACAGAGGAGAAAACAGUUUACUGGUUCUGCUGGAUCUCUCAGCGGUUUUUGAUACCAAUGACCAUGGCAUCCUUCUGGACUGUCGACAGGAGUUUGGAGCUGGGGGCACUGCUGUACAGCUCCUUCCUCCUGGACCGUGUCCAGAAAGUGGUGUUGGGGGAUGAGUGUUCAGACCCCUGGGCAAUCAC